GGCCAUGACGAUAACGGUCUCUUCUUUCCCAGUCCGAUUCGACCAUGACGACAGGGGAUCUACCACGCUACGCUUCGACAGAGGCGUGGCUUUUCUUGCCAGUGCUCUUCGUGAGCACAACAUUGCAUAAGUCUGAGCC
rnacentral:snoRNA from 1 species